GCAAGUCGAACGGUAACAGGAAGAAGCUUGCUUCUUUGCUGUCUAGCGGCGGACGGGUAAAUAAUGUCUGGGUAACUGCCUCAUGGAAGGGGAUUACUUCCUGAAACCGGUACUUAUUCCCCCUUACCUCCCCAGAACCAAAAAGGGGAACUUUCGGCCUCCUUCCCUUCGAUUUUCCCCAAUUGGAUUUACCUAUUAGUUGGGUUACCGCUUCACUUAGCCAACAUUCCUUACUUGUCUUAAAAGAUUACCCACCCCCCCUGAACUUAAACCCCGUUCAAAAUCCUUCCGGAAGGCACCA
rnacentral:sRNA from 1 species